UACGUAGGGUGCGAGCGUUGUCCGGAAUUAUUGGGCGUAAAGAGCUUGUAGGCGGUUUGUCGCGUCUGCCGUGAAAGCCCAGGGCUUAACCCUGGGUCUGCGGUGGGUACGGGCAGACUAGAGUGUGGUAGGGGAGACGUGGAAUUCCUGGUGUAGCGGUGAAAUGCGCAGAUAUCAGGAGGAACACCGAUGGCGAAGGCAGGUCUCUGGGCCGACUACU
rnacentral:rRNA from 1 species